CUUAUGGGCCAAAGCCCAAUACUUGCUGAAGCUAUUCGUUAGGGUUUGCUUAUAAUUAUUUGCAUCUUCUUCCCUCUGCAUUAGUUUCUCAGCGGCUAUUGUUAUCUCGUACGGCUUUGAUAACCGAGACGAAGAAGGGCGAGUUUUUCGAUUUCUGAUCAACAUGAGAGCUAAGUGGAAGAAGAAGCGUAUGAGGAGGCUCAAGAGGAAGCGCCGAAAGAUGAGACAGAGGGAUUGUGGCUCACACUGAUGCAUUGACGAGUGGUAGAAUGCUUUAGUUGGCCUUUAAACGAGUUGAACAUGGGCUCAACUCAACUUGUCCCAUUUGAUAAAAAAUUGGCUUCUUCAAAACUUGCCCCUCCGAAACAAGUUAUGUUUCUAACUUGACUCGUUCCUUGAGUUCGAAACAAGUUAUGUUUCUAAC